CAGUCGCCGCGGGAAUACGUAGGGUGCAAGCGUUAAUCGGAAUUACUGGGCGUAAAGCGUGCGCAGGCGGUUUGUUAAGACAGAUGUGAAAUCCCCGGGCUCAACCUGGGAACUGCAUUUGUGACUGGCAAGCUAGAGUCUGGCAGAGGGGGGUGGAAUUCCGCGUGUAGCAGUGAAAUGCGUAGAUAUGCGGAGGAACACCGAUGGCGAAGGCAGCCCCCUGGGCCAACACUGACGCUCAUGCACGAAAGCGUGGGGAGCAAACAGGAUUAGAUACCCGCGUAGUCCCUGUCUCUUAUAC
rnacentral:rRNA from 1 species